rnacentral:rRNA from 1 species
UACGGGGGGGGUAAGCGUUGUUCGGAAUUACUGGGCGUAAAGGGCUCGUAGGCGGCCAACUAAGUCGGACGUGAAAUCCCUCAGCUUAACUGGGGAACUGCGUCCGAUACUGGAUGGCCUGGAUUUGGGAGAGGGAUGCGGAAUUCCAGGUGUAGCGGUGAAAUGCGUAGAUAUCUGGAGGAACACCGGUGGCGAAGGCGGCAUCCUGGACCAAUAUUGACGCUGAGGAGCGAAAGCCAGGGGAGCAAACGGG